rnacentral:rRNA from 1 species
AGAGUUUGAUCAUGGCUCAGAACGAACGCUGGCGGCGUGCCUAACACAUGCAAGUCGAGCGCGAAUGGAGCAAUCCUAGUAGAGCGGCGCACGGGUGCGUAACACGUGGGUAAUCUGCCUGAGUGUCUGGGAUAACCAGUCGAAAGACUGGCUAAUACCGGAUGAGCCCCCGGGAACUUCGGUUCUUGAGGGAAAAGGUGGCCUCUGUAUACAAGCUAUCACACUCAGAUGAGCCCGCGGCCCAUCAGCUAGUUGGCGGGGUAAUGGCCCACCAAGGCAACGACGGGUAGCUGGUCUGAGAGGACGAUCAGCCACACUGGAACUGAGACACGGUCCAGACUCCUACGGGAGGCAGCAGUGGGGAAUUUUGCGCAAUGGGCGAAAGCCUGACGCAGCAACGCCGCGUGUGUGAUGAAGGUCUUUGGAUUGUAAAGCACUUUCGACCGGGACGAAAACCCUCUGGCUAACAUCCAGGGGCUUGACGGUACCGGGAGAAGAAGCACCGGCUAACUCUGUGCCAGCAGCCGCGGUAAUACAGAGGGUGCAAGCGUUGUUCGGAAUUAUUGGGCGUAAAGCGCGUGUAGGCGGCUUUGCAAGUCGGAUGUGAAAGCCCUCGGCUCAACCGAGGAAGUGCGUUCGAAACUGCAGAGCUUGAGUGCCGGAGAGGGGCGGAAUUCCCCAAGUAGAGGUGAAAUUCGUAGAUAUGGGGAGGAACACCGGUGGCGAAGGCGGCCACCUGGACGGUCACUGACGCUGAGACGCGAAAGCGUGGGUAGCAAACAGGAUUAGAUACCCUAGUAGUCC